GGAUGAGAAGGGACCUGACUCGGCGUAUGUUUUGAACGCAGGCACGGUGGGACUCACCGAUGGGUGCGAGAGAAAGAGAUUCACAGCAAAAUUGAAGGGAACGCACUGAGCGGUCACCGCACAGGCUGAGUGUGGCCCACCAUCCUCACGGCACGGGGACUCGCCCAGCGUCAGCGCCGGUGUGCUGCCUGGGAGCCCCGCCCUCCAUGGGGGGACACGCCGGGAAGAACAUUUGUCAUGUGAUGUGCACACACUGACACGUCAUCUGUGCCUCACGGCCCAUUUAUCCCCUCACCUGCUGCGGGCCACCUCCAUUGUCUCCGAGUUUCGGUAAUUAUGAGUAAACUGCUAUAAACAUC